AACCUUAUGGACCUGCGGGCGUAUACCUGCGGAAGGAUCAUUAUCGUAGGGGCCUCGCCCCCUUCGAGAUAGCACCCUUUGUUUAUGAGCACCUCUCGUUUCCUCGGCAGGCUCGCCUGCCAACGGGGACCCACCACAAACCCAUUGUAGUACAAGAAGUACACGUCUGAACAAAACAAAACAAACUAUUUACAACUUUCAACAACGGAUCU
rnacentral:misc_RNA from 1 species